GGGUUCUUAGCUCAGUUGGCUAGAGCGUCUGUUUGACGUACAGAAGGUCACAGGUUCGACUCCUGUAGAACCCACCA
rnacentral:tRNA from 2 species